rnacentral:rRNA from 1 species
UGGGCGUAAGCGUGCGUAGGCGGCUUUUUAAGUCGGAUGUGAAAUCCCUGAGCUUAACUUAGGAAUUGCAUUCGAUACUGGGAAGCUAGAGUAUGGGAGAGGAUGAUAGAAUUCCAGGUGUAGCGGUGAAAUGCGUAGAGAUCUGGAGGAAUACCGAUGGCGAAGGCAGCCAUCUGGCCUAAUACUGACGCUGAGGUACGAAAGCAUGGGGAGCAAACAGGAUUAGAUACCCUGGUAGUCCAUGCCGUAAACGAUGUCUACUAGCCGUUGGGGCCUUUGAGGCUUUAGUGGCGCAGCUAACGCGAUAAGUAGACCGCCUGGGGAGUACGGUCGCAAGACUAAAACUCAAAUGAAUUGACGGGGGCCCGCACAAGCGGUGGAGCAUGUGGUUUAAUUCGAUGCAACGCGAAGAACCUUACCUGGUCUUGACAUAGUAAGAACUUUCCAGAGAUGGAUUGGUGCCUUCGGGAACUUACAUACAGGUGCUGCAUGGCUGUCGUCAGCUCGUGUCGUGAGAUGUUGGGUUAAGUCCCGCAACGAGCGCAACCCUUUUCCUUAUUUGCCAGCGGGUUAAGCCGGGAACUUUAAGGAUACUGCCAGUGACAAACUGGAGGAAGGCGGGGACGACGUCAAGUCAUCAUGGCCCUUACGACCAGGGCUACACACGUGCUACAAUGGUCGGUACAAAGGGUUGCUACCUAGCGAUAGGAUGCUAAUCUC